rnacentral:rRNA from 1 species
AACAGUAGAAUUCUAAAUUAUAAAAUUUUAUAACGAUAAACUAAAAUUGAUUAAGGGUAAAAUUUAAUAGUAGAGGUUUGAAUUUAUCAUAAUAAAGAUAUUAAUUAAAACAAGGAUUAGAUACCCUUUUAUUUUUAUUCAAUAUAUAAAUUGGAGAGUACGAGCAAUAGCUUAAAAACUAAAGAAUAUGGCGGUGUUUUAUUCGAUCAGGGUGACAUGUAUCUUAAUUUGAUAGUCCACGGUUUUUAAGCCUGACUUUGAAAUUCAGCAUGUGUACUGCCGUUUUACAUAGUUUUAAAAAAUUGUGUAUAAUAUAUGAAUCUUUCAUAUAAUUAGUCAGGUCAAAGCGCAGUCUAUAGUCAGGUGAGAAUGUGUUACAUUUAUUUAAACAUUCAAUUUAUUGAUUUAAAUUUUAAUAAGAAGAAGAACUUGAUAGUAAUUAGAUUGAUUAAAUUUAAUGAAAAGGAUUUUAACGCGUACAAAUCGCCCGUCACUCCUUUAUAAAGG